AUAUAAAUAGUUUAAAUAAAACAAUAUCAUGUGAUGUUAAAAAUAUAAUUAACUAUUAUUUUAUAUA
rnacentral:tRNA from 1 species